ACGACCGGCGCACGGGUGAGUAACGCGUAUAGCAACCUGCCUAUAACUGGGGAAGUAGCUCCCUGAAAGGGGAAGUUAACACCGCAUAACACUAUUGAUUCGCAUGGAUUAGUAGUUAAAUGUAGCGAUACAGGUUAUAGAUGGGCAUGCGUGACAUUAGCUAGUUGGUGAGGUAACGGCUCACCAAGGCUACGAUGUCUAGGGGUUCUGAGAGGAAGGUCCCCCCACACUGGUACUGAGACACGGACCAGACUCCUACGGGAGGCAGCAGUGAGGAAUAUUGGUCAAUGGGCGCAAGCCUGAACCAGCCAUGUCGCGUGCAGGAAGACUGCCCUAUGGGUUGUAAACUGCUUUUAUAGUAGAAGAAACACAUCUACGUGUAGAUGUCUGCCAGUAUACUAUGAAUAAGCAUCGGCUAACUCCGUGCCAGCAGCCGC
rnacentral:rRNA from 1 species